rnacentral:rRNA from 1 species
UAAGGAAUAUUGGUCAAUGGACGCAAGUCUGAACCAGCCAUGCCGCGUGAAGGAUGAAGGUCCUCUGGAUUGUAAACUUCUUUUAUCUGGGACGAAAACGGGAUUUUUAUCUCAAUUGACGGUACCAGAGGAAUAAGCACCGGCUAACUCCGUGCCAGCAGCCGCGGUAAUACGGAGGGUGCGAGCGUUAUCCGGAUUUACUGGGUUUAAAGGGUGCGUAGGUGGGCUUAUAAGUCAGUGGUGAAAUCUCCGAGCUUAACUUGGAAAUUGCCGUUGAUACUAUAGGUCUUGAAUUAUCUGGAGGUAAGCGGAAUAUGUCAUGUAGCGGUGAAAUGCUUAGAUAUGACAUAGAACACCAAUUGCGAAGGCAGCUUACUACAUAUAAAUUGACGCUGAGGCACGAAAGCGUGGGGAUCAAACA